AGAUUGAACGCUGGCGGCAUGCCUUACACAUGCAAGUCGAACGGUAACGCGGGGCAACCUGGCGACGAGUGGCGAACGGGUGAGUAAUGCAUCGGAACGUGCCCAUUAGUGGGGGAUAGCUCGGCGAAAGCCGGAUUAAUACCGCAUACGACCUACGGGUGAAAGCGGGGGAUCGCAAGACCUCGCGCUAAUGGAGCGGCCGAUGUCAGAUUAGGUGUUGGUGGGUAAAAAGCCUACCAAGCCGACGAUCUGUAGCUGGUCUGAGAGGACGACCAGCCACACUGGGACUGAGACACGGCCCAGACUCCUACGGGAGGCAGCAGUCGGGAAUUUGGACAAGUGGGGGCAACCCGUGAUCCGAGCCCAUGCCGCGUGCGGAAGAGGCCGUUCGGGUGUAACCG
rnacentral:rRNA from 1 species